rnacentral:rRNA from 1 species
GGCUACACACGUGCUACAAUGGGUAGUACAGAGAGUCGCAAAGCCGCGAGGUGGAGCUAAUCUCAGAAAACUAUUCUUAGUUCGGAUUGUACUCUGCAACUCGAGUACAUGAAGUUGGAAUCGCUAGUAAUCGCGAAUCAGCAAUGUCGCGGUGAAUACGUUCUCGGGUCUUGUACACACCGCCCGUCACACCACGAGAGUUGGUUGCACCUGAAGUAGCAGGCCUAACCGUGAGGAGGGAUGCUCCGAGGGUGUGAUUAGCGAUUGGGGUGAAGUCGUAACAAGGUAUCCGUACGGGAACGU